rnacentral:misc_RNA from 1 species
UCUCCGUAGGUGAACCAGCGGAGGGAUCAUUACAGAGUUCAAAAACUACCGGGUCGAUCUGAAACCCUCUGUUAUCAUUACUUUGUUGGUUUGGCCGCCCGUUAGGCUCCCGCCCGGCUACCGCCCCCGGCUGGUAAGCGACCCCCGAAGUUUCCAAGACCCUCUAUAUUUGUUGCGUCUGAGUACUCAAUAAUAGUUAAAACUUUCCACAACGGAUCUGUUUGUUCUGGCAACGCAGAAGAACGGAGCAGAACAGAAGUGCACACCACUCAAAGCCAC